CGGACACGGACAGGAUUGACAGAUUGAUAGCUCUUUCUUGAUUCCGUGGGUGGUGGUGCAUGGCCGUUCUUAGUUGGUGGAGUGAUUUGUCUGGUUAAUUCCAAUAACGAAUGAGACUCUGGCAUGCAUGCUAACUAGUUACGUGACUCCUGAGCGGUCAACAUCCCCCAACUUCUUAGGGGCCAAGUGGCGUUCAGCCACCCGAGAUUGAGCAAUAACAGGUCUGUGAUGCCCUUAGAU
rnacentral:ncRNA from 1 species